rnacentral:rRNA from 1 species
UACGAAGGGGGCUAGCGUUGCUCGGAUUUACUGGGCGUAAAGGGCGCGUAGGCGGCCACCGCAAGUCGACUGUGAAAUCUCCGGGCUUAACCCGGAAAGGUCAGCCGAUACUGCGGGGCUAGAGUGCAGAAGGGGCAACUGGAAUUCUCGGUGUAGCGGUGAAAUGCGUAGAUAUCGAGAGGAACACCUGCGGCGAAGGCGGGUUGCUGGGCUGACACUGACGCUGAAGCGCGAAAGCUAGGGGAGCGAACGGG